rnacentral:rRNA from 1 species
CCUACGUGUGGCAGCAGUGGGGAAUAUUGCACAAUGGGGGAAACCCUGAUGCAGCGACGCCGCGUGAGUGAAGAAGUAUUUCGGUAUGUACAGCUCUAUCAGCAGGGAAGAAGAAAGACGGUAUCUGACCAAGAAGCACCGCCUAACUACGUGCCAGCAGCAGCGGCAAUAAGUAGGGGGCAAGCGUUAUCCGUAUUUACGGGGGGUAAAGGGAGCGUAGACGGCUGUGCAAGUCUGAAGUGAAAGCCCAGGGCUCAACCCUGGGACUGCUUUGGAGAUUGUGGAGCUAGAGUGCUGGAGAGGUAAGUGGAAUUCCUAGUGUAGCGGUGAAAUGCGUAGAUAUUAGGAGGAACACCAGUGGCGAAGGCGGCUUACUGGACAGUAACUGACGUUGAGGCUCGAAAGCGUGGGGAGUAAACAGGAUUAGAUACCCCAGUAGUC